ACCUGACUGGCUCAGUUGGUGGAGCAUGAGGUUCUUGAUCUUGGGGUUGUGAGUUCAAGCUUCGUGUUGGGUG
rnacentral:tRNA from 1 species